GCUUCUUGGUAGUAGUCCCAUAGUCCGGAAUAACUCGUGGACAAUGUCUCAGCCUACUAUUUAUCUUUAUCUUCUUCUGGAAAAGCCAUCCUGUUUCUUUUCUGUUAGAUGAGAUGUUGACUAGAUACGUGGCCUGUGUAUUUUCUGUUAGGUGAGAUGUUGACUAGAUACGUGGUCUGUGUAUUUUCUGUUAGGUGAGAUGUUGACUAGAUACGUGGCCUGUGUAUUUUCUGUUAGGUGAGAUGUUGACUAGAUACGUGGCCUGUGUAUUUUCUGUUAGGUGAGAUGUUGACUAGAUACGUGGCCUGUGUAUUUUCUGUUAGGUGAGAUGUUGACUAGAUACGUGGUCUGUGUAUUUUCUGUUAGAUGAGAUGUUGACUAGAUACGUGGCCUGUGUAUUUUCUGUUAGGUGAGAUGUUGACUAGAUGCGUGUUCUGUGUAUUUUCUGUUAGGUGAGAUGUUGACUAGAUACGUGGUCUGUGUAUUUUCUGUUAGGUGAGAUGUUGACUAGAUACGUGGCCUGUGUAUUUUCUGUUAGGUGAGAUGUUGACUAGAUACGUGGCCUGUGUAUUUUCUGUUAGGUGAGAUGUUGACUAGAUACGUGGCCUGUGUAUUUUCUGUUAGGUGAGAUGUUGACUAGAUACGUGGUCUGUGUAUUUUCUGUUAGGUGAGAUGUUGACUAGAUACGUGGCCUGUGUAUUUUCUGUUAGGUGAGAUGUUGACUAGAUACGUGGCCUGUGUAUUUUCUGUUAGGUGAGAUGUUGACUAGAUACGUGGCCUGUGUAUUUUCUGUUAGGUGAGAUGUUGACUAGAUACGUGGCCUGUGUAUUUUCUGUUAGGUGAGAUGUUGACUAGAUACGUGGCCUGUGUAUUUUCUGUUAGGUGAGAUGUUGACUAGAUACGUGGCCUGUGUAUUUUCUGUUAGGUGAGAUGUUGACUAGAUACGUGGCCUGUGUAUUUUCUGUUAGGUGAGAUGUUGACUAGAUACGUGGCCUGUGUAUUUUCUGUUAGGUGAGAUGUUGACUAGAUACGUGGCCUGUGUAUUUUCUGUUAGGUGAGAUGUUGACUAGAUACGUGGCCUGUGUAUUUUCUGUUAGGUGAGAUGUUGACUAGAUACGUGGCCUGUGUAUUUUCUGUUAGGUGAGAUGUUGACUAGAUACGUGGCCUGUGUAUUUUCUGUUAGGUGAGAUGUUGACUAGAUACGUGGCCUGUGUAUUUUCUGUUAGGUGAGAUGUUGACUAGAUACGUGGCCUGUGUAUUUUCUGUUAGGUGAGAUGUUGACUAGAUACGUGGCCUGUGUAUUUUCUGUUAGGUGAGAUGUUGACUAGAUACGUGGCCUGUGUAUUUUCUGUUAGGUGAGAUGUUGACUAGAUACGUGGCCUGUGUAUUUUCUGUUAGGUGAGAUGUUGACUAGAUACGUGGUCUGUGUAUUUUCUGUUAGGUGAGAUGUUGACUAGAUGCGUGUUCUGUGUAUUUUCUGUUAGGUGAGAUGUUGACUAGAUACGUGGUCUGUGUAUUUUCUGUUAGGUGAGAUGUUGACUAGAUACGUGGCCUGUGUAUUUUCUGUUAGGUGAGAUGUUGACUAGAUACGUGGCCUGUGUAUUUUCUGUUAGGUGAGAUGUUGACUAGAUACGUGGCCUGUGUAUUUUCUGUUAGGUGAGAUGUUGACUAGAUACGUGGUCUGUGUAUUUUCUGUUAGGUGAGAUGUUGACUAGAUGCGUGUUCUGUGUAUUUUCUGUUAGGUGAGAUGUUGACUAGAUACGUGGUCUGUGUAUUUUCUGUUAGGUGAGAUGUUGACUAGAUACGUGGCCUGUGUAUUUUCUGUUAGGUGAGAUGUUGACUAGAUACGUGGCCUGUGUAUUUUCUGUUAGGUGAGAUGUUGACUAGAUACGUGGCCUGUGUAUUUUCUGUUAGGUGAGAUGUUGACUAGAUACGUGGCCUGUGUAUUUUCUGUUAGGUGAGAUGUUGACUAGAUACGUGGCCUGUGUAUUUUCUGUUAGGUGAGAUGUUGACUAGAUACGUGGCCUGUGUAUUUUCUGUUAGGUGAGAUGUUGACUAGAUACAUGGUCUGUUUCUCUAUGUGUUUUGUAUUGUUGACAUGAACACUUACCUAAUAGGUGUUUUUUCCCAGUGGCCACGGGCUUUGAACUGGGUGCAACUCAUGGUGACAUAGUUCCCUGUCUUGUCUCUCU